rnacentral:rRNA from 1 species
CAGCAGCCGCGGGAAUACAGAGGGUGCGAGCGUUAAUCGGAUUUACUGGGCGUAAAGCGUGCGUAGGCGGCUAAUUGAGUCGGAUGUGAAAUCCCCGAGCUUAACUUGGGAAUUGCAUUCGAUACUGGUUAGCUAGAGUGUGGGAGAGGAUGGUAGAAUUCCAGGUGUAGCGGUGAAAUGCGUAGAGAUCUGGAGGAAUACCGAUGGCGAAGGCAGCCAUCUGGCCUAAUACUGACGCUGAGGUACGAAAGCAUGGGGAGCAAACAGGAUUAGAUACCCGGGUAGUCCCUGUCUCUUAUAC